rnacentral:rRNA from 1 species
UAGAGCGCACAGUGGAAAGGUGCGCAGAUGACGGUACUUGUCGAAUAAGCCCUGGCUAACUCCGUGCCAGCAGCCGCGGUAACACGUAGGAGGCGAACGUUAUCCGGAUUUACUGGGCGUAAAGCGCGUGUAGGUGGUUUGGUAAGUAGGGCGUGAAAGCUCCUGGCUCAACUGGGAGAGGCCGUUCUAAACUGCCGAACUAGAGGAUGGUAGAGGGAGGUGGAAUUCCGGGUGUAGCGGUGGAAUGCGCAGAUAUCCGGAGGAACACCAGUGGCGAAAGCGGCCUCCUGGACCAUUCCUGACACUCAGACGCGAAAGCUAGGGUAGCAAACGGGAUUAGAGACCCCGGUAGUCCUAGCCCUAAACGAUGUAGACUAGGCGUCGGUGGUUUAAACGCCAUCGGUGUCCAAGCUAACGCGAUAAGUCUACCGCCUGGGGACUACGGCCGCAAGGUUAAAACUCAAAGGAAUUGACGGGUCCCCGCACAAGCAGCGGAGCGUGUGGUUUAAUUCGUUGCUACACGAAGAACCUUACCUGGGUUUGACAUAGCAGUGGUAGGGAAGCGAAAGCAGACCGACCCUUCGGGGAGCUGUUACAGGUGUUGCAUGGCUGUCGUCAGCUCGUGUCGUGAGAUGUUCGGUUAAGUCCGCUAACGAGCGCAACCCUCGCUGUGUGUUACAAGUGUCACACGGUAAUGCCGGUAUUAAGUCGGAGGAAGGUGGGGAUGACGUCAAGUCAGCAUGACCUUUAUAUCCAGGGCUACACACACGCUACAAUGGUCAGCACAAUAGGUUGCCAAGCCGCGAGGCGGAGCCAAUCCUAAAAAGCUGGCCUCAGUUCAGAUUGCAGUCUGCAACUCGACUGCAUGAAGUUGGAGUUGCUAGUAACCGCAGGUCAGCUAUACUGCGGUGAAUACGUUCCCGGGGAUUGUACUCACCGCCCGUCAAG